rnacentral:lncRNA from 1 species
GAACUUUCUCACUUGCCUUAAUUCUGAGGAGAAAGCUACUUUUUUUUUGUUCUGCUGUAUAUAAUGUGUCCUUUGUCUCUGGCUGUUUUCAAUAUUCUCUGUAUUGCUGAUUUUAAACGAUUUGAUUAUGACGUGUCUUGAUGCAGUUUUCUUCGUGAUUCUUGUCUUGCAUUUGUUUAAGCUUUGUAGAUCUGUUGGUUUCAGAUUUCAUAAAUUUUGGAAAUAUUUCAGCCAUUAUUUCUUCAAACCAUUUUUCUGUCCUACCCUAAUUAUGCAUAUAUUAGGUCUCUUAAAAGUUGCUUCAUAGCUUACAGAUGCUCUUCUUUUUUUUCAGUCUGUUUUCUUUUUGUUUCAUUUUGGAUCAUUUCUAUUGCUACGUCUUGAAGCUAACUGAUUUUUUCUUCUGCAACAUCUAAUCUGCUAUUAACCACAGAGAUUUUUCAUCGUUGACAUCGUAGGCUUUGUCUCUCAAAAUCUGACUUACUUUUUUUAAUAUUUUCUAUGUCUCUACUUAGCACAUUUUAUCGUUCCUCUAGCUUUUUGAUCGUACAAAUACAGUUAUAAUAACUAUUUUAAUGUCCUUCUUAUCUAUUAAUUUUUUCAACUGUGUCAAUUCUGAGUCAGUUUUGAUUAAUUGAUGUUUAUCCUUAUUUUGUAUUGUACUUUUCUGCUUUUUUUUUUUUCAUGAACCAGACAUUGUGAUUCUUACACUGCUGGCUGCUGAAUAUUUUUGUAUUCCUGUCCAUUUUGUUUUUUUUUUUUUCUGGUAUGUGAUAAAUUACUUCAAAAUACUUUGGUUCUCUUUGAUCUUGCUCUUAAGCAUUGUUAGAUAGGACCAGUGGAGCAUUAAGUUCAGGGACAAUUUUCCUCCCUACUGAGGCAAAACCCUUCUGAGUAUCCUACUUGAUAAACCAUAAAUUGUGAGGUUUCCCACUCUGACUGCUAAGAAAAUGGGCAUUAUUGUAGAACCUGAUUGAGCUUUGGGUAUAUUUCCCACUAAUUCCUCUGAGUGAUUAUUUAUCAAGCGUGAGUAGUUUCCUCACUGACAUUCAUUAACCAGUAUUCAGCUAAAUACUUGCAGAGGACACCUAGCAGAUUUCCCGAGUUUUCUCUCUUUGCAGCUCUCUCCUUUCAGGUACUCCACCAUGUGAAAUGUAACUACCUUGAUCUCCCUGCUCCCUUUUCCUUAAUUCAGAGAGACUCCUAGACUCCAUGUGGCUUCUUCUGCCUGCAUCAUGGCCUGGAAACCGUCCACAUGAUAGCCUAAAUCAAUCAUAGGACUCACCAGAUUCAGUGAGUACAUGUGCAGGUUCAUUAUCAGCAUGUAUUGCAUGAUGCUGAGAUUUGGAGUACAAAUGAUCUCAUCACCCAGGGUCUUGCUCUGUCACCCAGCCUGGAGUGCAAUGGCGUGAUCCGCUCACAGCGACCUCUGCCUCCUGGGUUCAGGCAAUUCUCCUGCCUCAGCCUCUUGAGUACCUAGGAUUACAGGCGCACACCACCACGACCGGUAAAUUUUUGUAUUUUUAGUAGAGACAGGGUUUCACCAUGUUGGCCAGGCUGGUCUCGAACUCCUGAUCUCAUGAUCCACCCGCCUUGGCCUCCCAAAGUGCUGGGAUUAUAGGCAUGAGCCACCGCACCCGGCCUUCUGUUUUAAGUUAUUUGAGGAAUCUUCAAACUGCUUUCCACAGUUGCUGAACUAAUUAACAUUCCCGUCAGCAGUGUAUAAGCAUUCCUUUUUCUCACCAGUGUCCAUUGUUUUUUGACUUUUUAUAAUAGUCACCCUGACUAGUGUGAGAUGGUAUCUCAUUGUGGUUUUGAUUAUCAUUUCUCUGACAAUUAGUGGUAGUGAGCAUUUUUUCAUAUGUGUGUUGGCUGCUUGUGUGUCUUCUUUUGAGAAGUGUUUGUUCAUGUCUUUUGCCUGUAUGUUGUUGUUGUUUUUUGUUUUAUUUAAUUUUAUUUUUAUUUUAAGUUCUGGGUCCAUGUGCAGGAUGUGCAGGUUUGUUACAUAGGUAAACAUGUGCUAUGGUGGUUUGCUACACCUUUCAACCUAUCGCCUAAGUAUUAAGCCCAGCAUGCAUUAGCUAUUUUUCCUAAUGCUCUCCUUUCCCUGACCCACCAAAAGGCCCUAAUGUGUGUUGUUCCCCUCUCUGUGUCCAUGUGUUCUCAUUGUUCAGCUCCCACUUAUUAGUGAGAACAUGUGGUGUUUGGUUUUCCGCUCCUGCAUUAGUUUGCUGAGGAUAAUGUCUUCCAGCUCCAUCCAUGUCCCUGCAAACGGCAUGAUCUCAUUUCUUUUUAUGACUGCAUAGUAUUCCAUGGUGUAUCUGUACCACAAUUUCUUUAUUCAGUCCAUCAUUGAGAAACUAUUAACAGAGUAAAGAGACAACCUACAGAAUGGGAGAAAAAAUUCACAAACUGUGCAGCCGACAAAGGUCUAAUAUCCAGAAUCUUUAAGAAACUUAAAUAAUUGAACAAGCAAAAGACAAAUACUCCCUUUUUUAAUUAAUGCAUUUGCAUCCAGGUAAGACUAAGAAGGAGCAAUAGAGAUGGACAGAAGUGGAUAGAUUUUAGAGACAUUUGGGAGGUAGGAUCAACAGUAGUUGGUGACUAAAGGAUUGUGCAGGAGGAGGGGCAGAGGAGGGAAAAAGAGGUGCUGACGUGUGCUGCCAGGUUGUGCUGACACUACUUUCUGACAUAGCAAACCUAAUUGUUUAAGUUUUUUAAAGAUUAUGGAUAUCAGACCUUUGUCAGAUGCAUAGUUUGUGAAUAUAUCCCCCCCUUCUGUAGGUUAUCUGUUUACCCCAUUGAUAGUUUCUUUUGCUGUGCAGAAGCCCUUUAGUUUAAUUAGGUCCC